UGGUCCCUGCAUUCAGGGAACCUGUGUUCAAGUGGAGAGACAAAUAGUAAACAAGCAAACCACUCAACAACAUCACUACAGAUUGACACAGCUGCUAUGACAAAAUUACAAGGGAGGGAAUAGAAAGGAUCCCCAUUAGAGAGCUGGCCAGUGAAUACCCUUCUGAAGAGGUGACCACUGGGCUUAAGCUUGAAGGGAGAGAAUAAAUCAGCCAUGAAGAAAGUUGGGGAGAAAGCAUUCUAGAAUAACAUAGGGAAGUUCUGGUAGAGGGAAUGGGGCAUUUAAAUAAUUUAAAAGAGUCUCAGUGUGGCCAGAGCAGGGGGAGCAAAGGGGAGGAAUGUAGUUUUUAAGGUUAGAGAGGUUAGAAGGAGGUAGAACCCAUAGGCUAUUGUAGGUCAUAAUAAGCAGUUUGCAUUUUAUUCUAAGAGCAAUGGAAUUUAUUAAAUGAUUUAAGCGAGCAAAUGACAUAUUUACAUGUGCAUCCUGUGUCUCAAAGCAAAAUUUGAUUCUGUGAAGAUAUAACAGGAGGGAAGGUGAUUUUGUGUUCAAAAUAGUUUAUUUUGUAAAGAUUCUAGUAACAUGUUCUAAGUUGGAGAUAAAUGGCUGGGCCUUGUUUUGGUGAGGUCAACAGUCCAAAAAAAUUGAUACGCCCUUUCCCUAGUGUGGAGCUAUCAAUGGAAGACAGCUGCUCAACCAGGGACUACAUUGCCUUUGUAUCCAUGUCUUGCCAUGUGACCACUUUUCACUAAUGGGAUGUAAAUGAAAGUGAUCUUUGAUUUAUAGGGUGGAACUUUCAAGAAAUGGUUGGAGUUUCUUUGUAUUCUUCCCUCAUCUAUGGAUAAAUGCAGAGGACUCAGGAGCCCUAAGGAAUGGUGAAUCUCAAGGUUAUAUAUACAUGGAAAACAUCCUAAGAACUAGUCUUGAAAGCAAAGAAAGAAACAUGAUCAGAAUGGGAAUAAGCCUUGAAAAUAUAAAACAGGACUUCUGCCAAGAGAGGAGUAUUGUACCUAUGACAAGAAUAAAAAUGAGAUUGGCUUUUUGUUAAGAUUCCCAACUUUGGGCUGAAAAUGUAAAGUUACAGGAACAUCUGGAGAGGGAAAAAAGUGGCUUUGGAAAGCUGUUCAACUCGCAAAACACUGAGGCUGAGCAAACAUUCCAGCUUUCCCUCGCUGGCCAUCACUCACACCCAAUGUAUUUAUUCUUUUUCUCCGACAAGAGAGCAACAUUUGGAAUAGCUCAAGCUGCUGAGUUAAUCAUCGAGACGUCGUGGGGAUGUUUUAAGCCAUGGGCCUACUCUCCUCGUAUGAUUUGGAAUCAACACAACCACCAGGCUGAGGGCCACUUUAAAGAAAAGCCUAGCCAUGGCAGCAGAGAUUGGGUAUGAUGACUUCAGACCAUGUUCCAGCCAUGCUUGUCAAGGAGGAUAAUUGAGGCUGAGGUUAAAAGACAUUAAGAGCCAUAAUGAAAGCAAACUGUGAGCAGCUGUUCCCAAAGUUAUUAUGUGUUUGGCUUGGACUUCUGCUUCCAUGGAUUCCUAGGAUUCAUUUGCAAAAUAACUUGCUUCAAUAUUUACACAUUGGCCGAAGCUGAUUGAGCGGGAAUAAUGAGCCUUCGAUAUCUGCACUGCACAAGUUGUAACUGUAACUUCUGGUUGAACAUAUCAAAUAGAAACCAAGCAUUUAUCUCAGGUCCCUUCUAAACUCCAACUAAAAUAGUAAUGAAGAAAAGAAGUGGCAUAAACUUACAAAAAUUAAAAACAACAUGGUUGGAAAGGACAACAAGUGAGAAAUGACAGUAAAACUCCAGAAGCUGUAAAGAUAAUGGACGGAUGAUGAUUGAUUUGGUAGAGUGGGAGACAAAAUCUUAGCCCAACAAGGCCAGCAAGAAGGUAGCCAAUCUAUCCAUUGAACACCUGAAAGUCUCAAGAAAAGAGACACUAGUUACCUCUGAUGAAGAGGGUGCAUAAGAAGGUUGAAAACAUGAGUAUUGCUUGAAAGUCUUUAUAAGGAACUAUGAGAACCUCGGAAGGACCUCCCCACCCUGCAUAUAUAUCAGAGAUACUCAAAUCCCCCUUCCUAAGGGGCCAGAUGACCUGAAAUUUACUCUGAAGAAACUCAACCAGAGGGGCCCUGGAUCCAGACCUUGAAAAGGCAGGGGUGAGGUGCUAUAAUGAAACUGAGGAGCUCUACUAGGAAAAUCCUCUUUCUGACACAGACCCUUUCCCCUUGGCUUCCAGAAUACCAGCAACCAGGCAGAAGAUUGGAGAGCUACUUUCUGGGGAAAUAUAAUGACUUGUGAAAAACACUUAUACUGACCAUUUGGAGUGUCCUAGAAAAAUAGCCAGGUUUUUAACUCCCUAACCAUCAUUGAUAGACUGCACCAUGUCUGCCAUUAUCUACAUGAACAGAUAGACAAUGAUCUCAGGACAUGUGAAAAAAGCCUCUAAUACAAAAACCAGAGACCAAAACCAGUAAACAAAAAAAAGUAGUGAGGGGAUUUGGAAACAAUACAGAAAACAGAAGAAAACAUAAAAAAAGAUAUCUAUAUUAUUUCCCAAGAGAUGAGAGAAGGUAUUACAUAGUAAAGCAGUAAGAAAGAUAGAAAUAAACAUUCACAGAAUACAAAGUAGCUCCAGGAAAUACUAGCAGGUAUAGCCCAAACAACACAUUCAGGGAAAGGAUUGAAAGUUAAAAUUAAGAGUUGAGAAGGGAGAAAAAAAAUACAGAUGGAAAGCAGAAUAGAAUAAAUAAGAAAAUUAAGAGCCAUCUAAGAUAUCAAACAUGUAAUUGAUAACUAAUUAUUGACUCCAGGAAAAAUGGAAAUUUAUAUAAGAAAGGAAAUGUAAUCAGAAAAUACUAGAUGGUUUUGGAGUGAACAAUACUGGUAUAGUUGUCGUCAUCAUCAUCAUCAUAAACCACUUAAUAUCAACUUAAUGAAGGUUGUAGUGUACCUGCUUUUUGUUGUAUUGUAGUGAGGCUG